rnacentral:rRNA from 1 species
AUUGAACGCUGGCGGCAUGCCUUACACAUGCAAGUCGAACGGCAGCACGGGAGCAAUCCUGGUGGCGAGUGGCGAACGGGUGAGUAAUAUAUCGGAACGUGCCCAGUCGUGGGGGAUAACGCAGCGAAAGCUGUGCUAAUACCGCAUACGAUCUAAGGAUGAAAGCGGGGGAUCGCAAGACCUCGCGCGAUUGGAGCGGCCGAUAUCAGAUUAGCUAGUUGGUGGGGUAAAGGCCCACCAAGGCGACGAUCUGUAGCUGGUCUGAGAGGACGGCCAGCCACACUGGAACUGAGACACGGUCCAGACUCCUACGGGAGGCAGCAGUGGGGAAUUUUGGACAAUGGGCGCAAGCCUGAUCCAGCAAUGCCGCGUGCAGGAUGAAGGCCUUCGGGUUGUAAACUGCUUUUGUACGGAACGAAACGGCCCUUUCUAAUACAGGGGGCUAAUGACGGUACCGUAAGAAUAAGCACCGGCUAACUACGUGCCAGCCGCCGCGGUAAAAC